UGGGGGAUAAAGGCCGCCAUGGCCCUAAUACAUUGCAAGUCGAGCGAACAGACGAGGAGCUUGCUCCUCUUGACGUUAGCGGCGGACGGGUGAGUAACACGUGGAUAACCUACCUAUAAGACUGGGAUAACUUCGGGAAACCGGAGCUAAUACCGGAUAAUAUAUUGAACCGCAUGGUUCAAUAGUGAAAGACGGUUUUGCUGUCACUUAUAGAUGGAUCCGGCCGCAUUAGCUAGUUGGUAAGGUAACGGCUUACCAAGGCAACGAUGCGUAGCCGACCUGAGAGGGUGAUCGGCCACACUGGAACUGAGACACGGUCCAGACUCCUACGGGAGGCAGCAGUAGGGAAUCUUCCGCAAUGGGCGAAAGCCUGACGGAGCAACGCCGCGUGAGUGAUGAAGGUCUUCGGAUCGUAAAACUCUGUUAUUAGGGAAGAACAAAUGUGUAAGUAACUAUGCACGUCUUGACGGUACCUAAUCAGAAAGCCACGGCUAACUACGUGCCAGCAGCCGCGGUAAUACGUAGGUGGCAAGCGUUAUCCGGAAUUAUUGGGCGUAAAGCGCGCGUAGGCGGUUUUUUAAGUCUGAUGUGAAAGCCCACGGCUCAACCGUGGAGGGUCAUUGGAAACUGGAAAACUUUGAGUGCAGAAGAGGAAAGUGGAAUUCCCAUGUGUAGCGAUUGAAAUG
rnacentral:rRNA from 1 species